UUCAAAUACAUCUUUGUGUNNAAAGUCNUUGAAUGUUUUAUUAUCAUAGAGUCACGACUUCUAGGAGACGUGNNNCUAAGAGUUAAAAGUUAUUACAACUUUCAGCAAUGGAUCUCUUGGCUCUCGCAUCGAUGAAGAACGCAGCGAAAAGCGAUAUGUAAUGUGAAUUGCAGAUCUACAGUGAAUCAUCGAAUCUUUGAACGCACCUUGCGCUCCUUGGUAUUCCGAGGAGCAUGCCUGUUUGAGUGUCAGUAAUUUCUCAACCCCUUUUGAUUANAUUCAAGAGGGAGCUUGGAUAGUGGGGGUCUGCUGGAGACUUGGGCUUUUGUCUGAGAUUCGAGCUCUCCUGAAAUGCAUCGGCUUGCGGUCGACCUUCGACUUUGCGUGAAAAGGCUUUUGGCGUGAUAAUGAUCGUCAUGUGCUGAAGCGCANAAAGUCAAGGCUUCAUGUCCGUGCCUCUAAUACGUCGACCCUCUCUUCUGAGGGGUCUUCCUUAUUGACUUUUUGACCUCAAAUCAGGUAGGACUACCCGCUGAACUUAAGCAUAUCA
rnacentral:rRNA from 1 species